UGCCCCGUGGCUGAGUUGGUUACAGCGUCCGACUGUUACUUGCAUACAUCGGAAGGUCGUGAGUUCGAGCCUCACCGGGGCAG